GACAGAGGGUGCGAACGUUGUUCGGAAUUACUGGGCGUAAAGCGCGUGUAGGCGGUUCGGCAAGUCGGAUGUGAAAGCCCAGGGCUCAACCCUGGAAGUGCACUCGAAACUGCCAGACUGGAGUCCCGGAGAGGAAGGCGGAGUUCUCGGUGUAGAGGUGAAAUUCGUAGAUAUCGAGAGGAACACCUGUGGCGAAGGCGGCCUUCUGGACGGUGACUGACGCUGAGACGCGAAAGCGUGGGGAGCAAACAGG
rnacentral:rRNA from 1 species